CCUACGGGGAGCAGCAGUGAGGAAUAUUGGUCAAUGGCCGGAAGGCUGAACCAGCCAUGCCGCGUGAAGGUCAGUGCCCUAUGGGCGUUAAACUUCUUUUGUGCGGGAGCAAUAAUGGUCACGUGUGGCCAGACGAGAGUACCGUACGAAUAAGCAUCGGCUAACUCCGUGCCAGCAGCCGCGGUAAUACGGGGGAUGCAAGCGUUAUCCGGAUUUAUUGGGUUUAAAGGGUGCGUAGGCUGGGAGGUAAGUCAGCGGUGAAAUGCCCCCGCUCAACGGGGUGAAGUGCCAUUGAUACUGCCUGGCUGGAAUGCGGAUGCCGUGGGAGGAAUGUGUGGUGUAGCGGUGAAAUGCAUAGAUAUCACACAGAACACCGAUUGCGAAGGCAUCUCACGAAUCCGCGAUUGACGCUGAUGCACGAAAGCGUGGGUAUCAAACAGGAUUAGAUACCCGAGUAGUC
rnacentral:rRNA from 1 species